UGUUAAAGAGUCACCUUAGUUAAAAAGUUAUUAACGAUUAAGAAAUAAUGACCUUUAAGGAGACCUUUACGAUGUUAUAAUGACCGUUAUGACCUUAAUAAGCGCUAACUAAUAUUUAGGCUUAAAAGCUAAAUAACGAAACAUUCAUUAAUAAAACUAUUCUUGAAUAGAUUAAGGAAGAUAAAGGAUAUUACAAGCCUCCCCCGGCUAUCAAGGUUAUUAAGCAGGAAUCCAGGUACCGAUGGUGAUAACGGGAUGGCGUAGCAGUGAGGAUUUAAUUAAUAUCUAGAUUAUCUAGACUCUCAUGGUUUUAAUUUAAGUUUAUGUCAAAACUCUGAUUAGUAACUAAGUUUCUAUUAAUCAAGACUAAUGUUGGAUCUAUAUUAUGCUUCAUGUUAUAAAUGUUUAAGUUUAUGAUUU